rnacentral:rRNA from 1 species
AACGUAGGACGCAAGCGUUAUCCGGAGUUACUGGGCGUAAAGCGCGAGCAGGCGGCUUGAUGCGUCCGAUGUGAAAGCGCCCGGCUAAACCCGGGCGAGGCCAUUGGAAACGGUCAAGCUGGAGGGCAGUAGAGGCAGGCGGAAUCCGGGUGGAGUGGUGAAAUGCGUAGAGAUCCGGAGGAACACCAGAGGCGAAGGCGGCCUGCUGGGCUGCACCUGACGCUGAG